rnacentral:rRNA from 1 species
CACGUAGGGUGCGAGCGUUGUCCGGAAUUAUUGGGCGUAAAGAGCUCGUAGGCGGUGUGUCGCGUCGGCCGUGAAAACUUGGGGCUUAACUCUGAGCGUGCGGUCGAUACGGGCAUCACUUGAGUUCGACAGGGGAGACUGGAAUUCCUGGUGUAGCGGUGAAAUGCGCAGAUAUCAGGAGGAACACCGGUGGCGAAGGCGGGUCUCUGGGCCGAUACUGACGCUGAGGAGCGAAAGCAUGGGGAGCGAACAGG